UCCCUGGCAGUCCAGUGGUUAGGACUCCAUACUUCCACUGUGGGGGGCCCAGGUUCAAUCCCUUGUCAGGGAA